CUUUCCUUUCAGGUUUGGUUUCAAAACUGCAGAGCCCGCCAUAAAAAACACACGCCCCAGCACACGGUGCCGCCCUCGGGGGCCCCCCCGUCCCGCAUCCCCUCCUCGCUCCCCGAGGACAUCCACUACUCGCCCUUCAGCAGCCCGGAGCGGGCCCGGAUGGUGACGCUGCACGGAUACAUAGAGAGUGAGUGCGGGGCCGGGGAGGGGCUGAACAGUUUGGUCCCAUGAAGGUCCCUGCCUUGGCUUGGCUUUAGGGCCCUCAGCCUUCCUUGGGUUCCCUUUGUCGUGGAGAGCAGCGUGUGUGCGUCCUGUGGAACUGGUGUGCCCCUGUGCAAGGUCAGGUACAGUGUGGACAAGUGCACUGUAGACUUCCCUACACUGCUCCACCAGUGCACCUCAAAGCAGACAUGGAAGGACCACUAUCUAAUAGGGGUGAGAAGGUCAUCCUCUUUCAGUACUGACUGCGCGAGCUCUUCCUCAUCUGCCCACGGCGCUACCAGCACCACUGCCCCUCAGUCGCUGAAACAGCGUCCAGCCCGAGGCAACUGUUCUCAGUCAUGCAGGAGAAACUCAGAUCCAGCACUCUCAGUUGUUCCCAUUGACCAGCAUCUAACAUCCACUAUUAUUUCUCCAGCAACACUCUGUGUAUGUGUGUGUCGAGUGCAGAGUUGCAUUUUUCACUUGUUUCUUGUGGACUUGUAGAAUGACAGUGAGUCUCUCCAAGGCAAUGCCAGACACAGCCAAAAUUAGUGACUCUGCUGUGCUUACAAAUCCUGCUCCCCAGUCACGGGAAUAUGAACAGAUCAGUUCACGCUGAGUCACAGGGGGUUCGAUGAUCACCUAUGAAUAUAGAGAAAGGAGGAAUUUACGUGGUUUGGCCUGAUUCUCUUUUUGCACCAGUGAAGCAGUGUUGGUUCCCGGACGUCCCUCCUUAUUUACACUUGCAUGUGUGAAAUCCGAAAUGGGCUCUUUGGCUCAGCAACUCAAUAUACACACAGGACUCCUGAGCCAAAGCCGCAGGUAGCUGCGGCUCCACUAAGUGGAAAACAUGAUGCCAGCUGGAAAUAGGCAGUUUUCCUUCCUCCUCAAAGUGCUUUAGAAUCACAUGUCCUUUGAUCACUCUGUAAG
rnacentral:lncRNA from 1 species